AACGAACGCUGGCGGCAUGCUUAACACAUGCAAGUCGAACGAUACCUUCGGGUCUGGUGGCGCUCGGUUGCGAAACGGGUGGGAACCUGUCUUUAGGCUGGGCCUGACUCCCCGAAAGGUGUGCUAAUACGGGGUAAUUUCUGGGGGCCAAAGAUUGAUCGCUUUUGGGUGGGCCCGCGUUGGAUUCGCCGGUUGGUAGGGUAACAGCCUACCAAGGCGACGGUCCCUAGCUGGGCUGCGAGGCUGAUCAGCCACGCUUGGACUGAGACACGGACCAGACUCGUACGCGACGCAGCAGUGGAGAACAUUGGACACUGGGCGAAAGCGUGAUCCAGCCACGCCGCGUGAGUGAUGAAGGCCUUAGGGUACUUAAGCUAGUUUACCCGGGAUGAUAAUGACAGUACCGGGAGAAUAAGCUCCGGCUAACUCCGUG
rnacentral:rRNA from 1 species